GACGAACGCUGGCGGCGUGCUUAACACAUGCAAGUCGAACGGAAAGGCCCUGCUUUUGUGGGGCGCUCGAGUGGCGAACGGGUGAGUAACACGUGUGUAACCUGCCCCUGACUUUGGGAUAACUUCAGGAAACUGGGGCUAAUACCGGAUAGGAGCUCCUGCUGCAUGGUGGGGGUUGGAAAGAUUCGGCGGUUGGGGCUGGACUCGCGGCUUAUCAGCUUGUUGGUGGGGUAGUGGCUUACCAAGGCUUUGACGGGUAGCCGGCCUGAGAGGGUGACCGGCCACAUUGGGACUGAGGGACGGACCAGACGCCUACGGGAGGCAGCAGUGGGGAAUAUUGCGCAGUGGGCGGACGCCUGAUGCAGCGACGCCGCGUGCGGGAUGACGGCCUUCGGGUUGUAAACCGCUUUCGACUGUGACGAAGCGUGAGUGACGGUAAUGGGUAAAGAAGCACCGGCUAACUACGUG
rnacentral:rRNA from 1 species